rnacentral:rRNA from 1 species
GACGAACGCUGGCGGCGUGCUUAACACAUGCAAGUCGAGCGGUAAGGCUCCUUCGGGAGUACACGAGCGGCGAACGGGUGAGUAACACGUGAGCAAUCUGCCCCUUACAUAGGAAUAACCAUUGGAAACGAUGGCUAAUACCAAAUACGACCUCGGAAGGCAUCUUCUGAGGUGGAAAGCUCCGGUGGUAAGGGAUGAGCUCGCGGCCUAUCAGCUAGUUGGCGGGGUAAAGGCCCACCAAGGCAAUGACGGGUAGCCGGCCUGAGAGGGUGACCGGCCACACUGGGACUGAGACACGGCCCAGACUCCUACGGGAGGCAGCAGUGGGGAAUAUUGGACAAUGGGCGAAAGCCUGAUCCAGCAACGCCGCGUGAGGGAUGACGGCCUUCGGGUUGUAAACCUCUUUCAGCGGGGACGAAGCGAAAGUGACGGUACCCGCAGAAGAAGGACCGGCCAACUACGUGCCAGCAGCCGCGGUAAUACGUAGGGUCCGAGCGUUGUCCGGAAUUAUUGGGCGUAAAGGGCUCGUAGGCGGUUUGUCACGUCGGGAGUGAAAACUCAGGGCUCAACCCUGAGCGUGCUUCCGAUACGGGCAGACUAGAGGUAUUCAGGGGAGAACGGAAUUCCUGGUGUAGCGGUGGAAUGCGCAGAUAUCAGGAGGAACACCGGUGGCGAAGGCGGUUCUCUGGGAAUUACCUGACGCUGAGGAGCGAAAGCAUGGGGAGCGAACAGGAUUAGAUACCCUGGUAGUCCAUGCCGUAAACGUUGGGCGCUAGGUGUGGGACCCUUCCACGGGUUCCGUGCCGCAGCUAACGCAUUAAGCGCCCCGCCUGGGGAGUACGGCCGCAAGGCUAAAACUCAAAGGAAUUGACGGGGGCCCGCACAAGCGGCGGAGCAUGCUGAUUAAUUCGAUGCAACGCGAAGAACCUUACCUGGGUUUGACAUAUGCCGGAAACGUCUAGAGAUAGGCGCCCCGCAAGGUCGGUAUACAGGUGGUGCAUGGCUGUCGUCAGCUCGUGUCGUGAGAUGUUGGGUUAAGUCCCGCAACGAGCGCAACCCUCGUUCUAUGUUGCCAGCACGUAAUGGUGGGGACUCAUAGGAGACUGCCGGGGUCAACUCGGAGGAAGGUGGGGAUGACGUCAAGUCAUCAUGCCCCUUAUGUCCAGGGCUUCAAGCAUGCUACAAUGGCCGGUACAAAGGGCUGCGAAACCGCAAGGUGGAGCGAAUCCCAAAAAGCCGGUCUCAGUUCGGAUUGGGGUCUGCAACUCGACCCCAUGAAGUCGGAGUCGCUAGUAAUCGCAGAUCAGCAACGCUGCGGUGAAUACGUUCCCGGGCCU